UAUGUUUCUUAACAGGACUUAGGUUUGGAAUACUAUAUAUUAGGAGAAUCUUUUGAGACUUCUGCUCCUUGGGACAGGGUUGUAGAUCUCUGUAGAAAUGUAAAAGAAAGAAUAACAAGGGAGUGCAAAGAGAAGGGUGUUCAGUUUGCUCCUCUUUCUACAUGCCGGGUGACGCAGACUUACGAUGCAGGCGCAUGUAUCUACUUCUAUUUUGCCUUUAACUACAGGGGAAUUAGUGACCCACUGACCGUUUUUGAACAAACUGAGGCAGCUGCUAGAGAAGAAAUCCUCGCUAAUGGAGGGAGCCUGUCGCAUCACCAUGGAGGUAUUCUUUUUUGGGAGUAG